CGUGUGUGUGUGUGUGUGUGAUCAAGAGAGAUGGUGUGCUUUUCUGCGAAUCCGAGACAAAAUUAGGCGAAACAAAAAUUGUGGAUUCGUAGGUCUGGCAGUGCUGAACGCGUUGGUGCGGUCCGUUCGCGCAUCUAACAAGCGGAUUAUCCGUAAUUACGGAAAGAUCAAGUGGUCAAAAUGGAGAAUAUUGUUUUUCGAAAAAUUCCCCAACAUUUUGUGCCAAAUUGCACGAAUUCGCGAGUGAGGGGUGCCUUUGUGCAAACUGCAUGUGCUGUAAGGGAUCGGGAUAAAAAUAUCGAGUUUUCAUAGGUUUUUCUACAAUUUUUCCCUAUAUGCCCUAAAGAGCCACUUAGGACUUUCUUCUCUCCCAAACCCUAAAACUAAUCUCCUCUCCCCACUCCCUCGCAGCCACCUCCACCCUCUUCUCCCUGUGCACAAUGUGCACAAUCCGGCCGCCGAAUUCUCUCCCUCCCUUAAUAUUCUUUCAAUCCCUCUCUCCCUUCUUCCUUGUGGACCUGAGCUGCAAGGAGGGCCGCACCUUUCCCCUCACGCUCUACCUCGCCUCACCGAACCUCCAGCGGUCCCUCAUCGGCAACCCCUAGCUCUGCGAGGCAGCGACAGCCGUAAAGCUCCUUCUCAAUUAGAAAGGAGGCCGCCGCUCCUCCGCGUUGCCGCCGCCGCUUCGGGGCUUCACCAUCGCCUCCCUCUUGGCCUCUUGGGUUUAGGGUUUAGGAGCCUUGAGCUCCCUGGCCACCGCAUCGCCCAGGUGAAGCUUGGGCUUGGGCUUGCUUAUGUGGGCUAGGCUUGCCCUUUCUCCGCCGCCACCGCCGCAGCCGGCCAAGGGGAGCACGAGGCUCCCCGCAGCCUCCGCACCCAACCCCGGCCGGAGCUACCUGCUCCCAGCCCUAUCUGCCUAGUGCUUGCCAUCUGAAGCUCCCCCGAUCUGCCGAAAAGGGAGCACGGCGAUACCUGACCCUCGCUAACAGUCGUACUGACCUCGAAUCCUACCAAAAAGGCUCUGUUUCGCUAGGGUGCCAUCGUCGCUCCCGGAACACUUAUGUUACAGCACUUCAUAAAGCUUCGGCACGCUCCUCGGCCGUCGUUUGCGCUCCGGACAGCGAGGACCGACACGUCGAGACCUAUUCGCUCGUGCUCUCGCGUCGUCCCGAAGGCGCACGAUUUACGGUAUAGACACUAAACAAUCACUUAAAUGUUUAUUUUGUGCAAUUAUUGAAAUGUUUAGGGGUUUAUUUGCAAAUGUCGUUGCAUAGGCUGCCGCGGGCAGCGCGUGGUCACUGUGUGUGACACUAUGGACUAGUCGUCUAGGUUUCGAAGCCUUCGUGUAAACGAAAAAAGGUUUCGGUGCGUUUCUAACAAAGUCACCGAUAGAACACGAAUUCGCAUCGUGAUGAGUUUCCAGCUGCGUGGUUGCCUUGGAAAUCAUCACCUAGCCUUGUUGGCUAGCCGUCGUGGUUGCCUCGAGUGUUCGGAGGCAACAGGUGAGCGGCAGAGGGUUCCAGUGCCAAAUUGGACACUACCGGAAGCUCCGAUGAUAACCGAGUUAACCUAGAAGUUUGUAGUUGCUCCCCAGACACCCAAAUUGGUGCGCUUCAGGUCAGCGAGUGACUCGUGGCACAAGUCGCGGCGUUUCGAGACAUUUCGAGGGUCUUGGGGACAUCCCGGUGCUUUUUUCAGGAUUCCCGACGAGUUCGGGAAUCGAUUUUAGGAAACCUAUUCGGCGAGUGGUUUGGGAUUGUGAUCGAUGUGUAUCAAGUCGGUAAGAUUAGAUCCUGACUCUGUGGACCUAACUUAGGUCCAGUCGACGAUCCUCGACCACGGGAGCUAGGUGCAGCUGCAGACACAGGUGGGUAUUUUGAUCGAAAGUCGGUAUUGUGGUGCACGCUCGGUGAUGUUCCCUUCACUCUUACUUGUUCUUGCAUAUAUCUAGUCUAUUCUAGCUUGACACCAUAUGACUUCGCUAUACAUAUGCUCUACUUAGUUAUGCUCUUGUUUUCCUAUGUCAUAACCUAGAAGUAGAGCAGUAGUGGUUACUUUUACAUGAUCGUGUACAUUAUUGUUGACCUAAGUGGUUGGUUCUUGUGGAUACCCCAUUGUUGACCUGAGUGGUCGGUUCUCGUGGAUGCAUCAUUGUUGACCUGAGUGAUAGGUUCUCGUGGAUAGGAUGACCUGAGUGGUCGGUGCUCCUACACUCAUGUUGUUGAUGAACUCGUACUUUCUUAUUGACCUGAGUUGUCGGUUCUUAUAGAUACAUCCUAAAUGACCUGAUUUGUUGGUGCUCCUAUACUCAUGUUGUUGAUGACCUCGUACUUUCUUGUUGACCUAAGUGGUCAAUACUCUGUUGAUGACCUUGUACAAUCUAGUUGACUUAAGUGGUCAGUGCUCAUAUACCAGUAUUGUUUCAAUGACCUAUUGGUCGGUGCACCCUAAGGGGUUAGAUUGUCAGUAUUCGCCGACGAACAGCUAUUGAUCAUAUUCGCAUCGAUCGCCACAGCUCGUGAGCAUUUCACAUACACCAACGGUCUGAUCCACUGCAAGACGGUGUUCUUUUCCAGUAAAGUAGUCCUACGUCCAACCCGUGAGCCCAGUGCUAGGGUUAUAUGCCAGGUGUGCAAGCAGAACGUGGCUUUUGCCUGAGUUCUUUAGACCGACACGGCGAUGCAGAUUAAGUACUUUUGGACUUCGUUCGGUUGACACAUAUUGGUUACAAUAGCGGUCGUUGCAUUAUAGUUCCAUUUCCUCUCACUUAUAUUGCUACCAUAGACUCUCCUUUAUAUAUACUCGGUUACCCGUGAGUACACUUGCCUUCAUCGGCUUGGGGUACCCACUGGAAAACCCUUUGUUGGUUUCUCACCCCUCUGUCUACAGGUUGUUAAGUCUUGUGUGUUGGCAAGUUUCAUGAAGUGAGUCGGAGUCUUGAAGGAUCGGUGCGUAUCGUCGAAGAUCGAAGAAUCCAAGACUUCGAAGAAAUCGAAAAAUAACUCAUGACGUGAAUCACGAUGUCCAGAUAAGUUUUUAAUUCAUGUUAUAAUGAUUCAUACUUAGUUAUAGGCAUUAGAAUCAUAAACUCAAAGUUUACUCGAUUAGAAAGUGCGUCGGAACUUUGCGAAACUCGAAACUGUGAAAAAAAUCAGAUUUAUGCAAAGUGUACCGGUACAACAUCGGAAGUGUACCGGUACAAAAUGUGUUCCGGUACAACCAGCGACUUGUCACCGGUUACAGUGUUGCGCAGGUUUUCUCUUCCGUCAUCGUGUAACCGAUAACAGCUUAAAAGUGUACCGGUACACAAUGUAAAAAAUCCGAAAAGCUUUCAAUUUUCAAAUCCAACUCUAAUUGAUUCUAAAGUCUAUAAAUAAGCUAUUAGAGGUUCUCUAACAAAUUAAGUAUCAUGAGAAUACAUGUUUGAGAAACCCUAGAGGCUAGGAUUUCGUUCAUAACCUAUUUUCUACAAAAUAACCUCUUUUAGGUCAAUUCGAGAUAUCGUAAUUCGAGAUCUUAAUGUCGAAUUGAUCUAAGACUUCGUUUAGAGUUUGGUCUCUGGUUCUUCAUCAACAUUCUAAGCGAAGGAUCACCAUAGCAUGAUGUUUUUCAUGGAUGGCGUCGUGGAUUCGGCGUGAUUAAAGGCGGUUCGUGGAUUCGGAUCGUAGGCUCGUGGAUUCGAGUGGCGUUCGUGGAUUCGGACGUGUCCGAGGCAUUCGUGGAUUCGAACGUGAGGGCGUGGACAACCUGGAGGAUUGCGCGAGAUUCGUAAGAGGUUAAGAGAGGUCGAGUCUGUGGAGUCGGUAAUCACCUUAUAAUCUUUUCUCUUAGUGAAUUAUUUUUUUCGCGUGUUGGUCCCGUGGGUUUUUCUCCAAAUUGGAGUUUUCCCACGUAAAUCUCGGUGUGAUUUUUAUUUUUCACACUUAUUUUUAUCGCAUUAAGAUUUGUGGUUUUUGGGUAUUACACCUAUUCACCCCCCUCUAGGUGUUGGAUACAAUCUAGAUAGAUCCUUGGGCUCCUUUAAAACUUACACAGGUGACACGGGUUGGAGCUAUCGAGACGGUGCGUGAGGCCGUAGAUAGCAUGGGAUAGAGGUCCCAGCCUUACAGUAUCAGUUUUUGUUUGAUUCAUAAUGUAUACAUGUUAGUAGAUGGACUUGACAGCUCAAAUUCUUGGCACGCUUAUACUUGUUAGUAGUUAGACAGUAUUGUGGUUCAAUAGAUUUACUAGUGAAACUUUGGUUACAUAUGAGGUUUUGGACUUAGAUUUCGAAAGAAGGUUUUAAAAUAUACUAGUGGUUUUCGCAAAUAAUGGAUUUCUACUCCUCGCGGUAGCUUGUUUUUAAAAUAAAGGUUUUCAUGCGGAAAACGGUUUUCAAAAUGGUCUCCGGCUUUUCGAGGCUUUUCGAAAAGUUAAGAGUUUCAAAAUAAGGUCUUCGUGUGGGAGACGCUUUCAACUAAUAGGGUGAAUGUGGAAUGAUUGUGACUAAGGGCGGUAGCUGUAUAACGUGGAAACUUGUUGAAUGUUGAUCCUUGUACUUGUGGGUCUUGUGUGUGUGAGUGGUAUGUCAUGGUUGUCACUUGUACUAUGUGCUACGCCGUGCUAAUACAGGGAAGACUGUCCAUUUAAACAAAAAAUUUCUUGUAUUUGUGGCGGGUCUAUUACGUCCUUGGGUCAAGGUUAGAAAAAGAAGAAAAAAAAAAUUAGGCACUUUUUCACUGAUUCUCAGUUACUAAAUGGCCCGAUUUCAAAAUGGCUUUACAAAAAGGGACCCCGGAACGUGACACUAAGAUAAACAAUCAGGACCACACCGGAAUGUCGAUCGGGUGAUUGCAGAUCGUGAGAAUGUGUGAUGCUACCACUUCCACAGUAAGAAUUAUGCCAUAACAAUCGUACAAGGUACCACCGACAAGCCUAGGGUACUAAAGGAAGUGCCCUUGGGGCACACAAAGGGUCUGACGAAUGAAAGUGAUGCGGACCGGGUCCCUUGUCAGGUGUACGAACGUCGUUGACGCUGCAAAUGCAACUUGAGCAUGUGGCUCGAUCAAUCCGGACUGGGUUCGGAUUGAAUUGCACCCGUUAAUUUCUAGAAGUAUCUAGGAUUAUGCGAUUUUGUUUAAAAAUCUGUUUCUUUGGGUAAGUUAAGAUUUUAGUUAUUCUGUUAGAAUAGGUUGAGAUUUUUAUUCUAUUAGGAUAAGUGGAGAUUAUAUUAUGAUAUUUUUAUUUUGUUAGGAUGGUUGUUGAGAUUUUAUUUCGAGCUUAUUCAUCUGUUAGGAAAGCUCUUUAAAUAAGCCUAUGUAUGUAACGAUUAAAAUAGUGAAGAUGAAUAUUGCUAUAGCCAUUGAAAUGUGUUCUCUAGUAUCCUUCGCAUUUAUGCGUCGAUCAGAGUGAGUCCGUGGGGAGUGAGUCCCUUUAUCUUUCUUUUCUUUUCUUUUCUUUUCUUUUUCCUUCUGCCUGCAUUCAUCGCUGUCAACAUCACCCACCAUCGACGUCGUCUCUACCAUCGCAGCCACCGUCACCUGGAGUCGCGACCGCCUACAACGCCGCCCUGUCAUGACGUCUCAUUGCCACCUGCAAACAUCACCACUGUCUUGCCUCGCCACUACCGAUCGGUACGCUCGAGCCACCUCCCGAUCAUUUCGACGUCAAUGAUCAAACCAAUGCCAUCUAGCUUGUCCACCAAGCACAAUCGGUUUUCUUUUCUUUUAUCCUUCUAAUCAUCUUAUCUCAAUCCUCUCAUUUAUUCUCCCUCUCCCCAACCCCCUUCCUUUAAAUAACUCCCCUUUGCUUUUUGUCCAUAGAUGCUGCCCAAAGAGAGACUUGGAUCCGAUAGAUUAAGAACGGGCUGUCCCUUUUCAAUUUGGAGUUACUAAUAUCGCCUACAGAGCGUUGACAGAUUAGAUCGAAUGUCACGCCCCGAGCCCGCCUAUUUGGUCGGUUCGGGCACGCCGACAGACCGCCAAACGGACAGAGUUUUCCCUGUACGUCCAAGGCGUCGCAAUCAUUACAAUCACAAGAGGUUCCAAACAGGAACAAUAUUCAGACAACGAUUGCAUAAGGAAGGUAUCAAACAACAUAAAUCCUAUGCUAUUACAAGCAUUCACAUUUAUGUUACAUUAUUUGCAAUACAUCCUCAACUUCCAAAUACAAUCAUAAUUAUUACAAGUUUAUUUCUUUCAUCUCUAACCCCUAAGCUAGGCCACUUUGGGGUACCGCUAUCUCUGGUCUCGGUGGUAAGGCGCUAUCUACGGAGCUACGCCCUCUCCUUGCGCCGCCGCGCCGCUCACGUGCGAACCUGUAACCCCCAAAACCACACGGGGGUGAGAACUAUAUAAAUAUAGUUCCCAGUGGGUACGGCCACCCAAGGGAAGAGCUCGACCCACCAGGUCCGAAGGAGGCAAGCUGCAGGUUAGUUCAAUAAACAGAUAGAUAUGAUAGUAAAAUUAUGCAACUAACAAUACCAUGCAUUGCCUCGCGAUAUGCAAUAAUGCAACUAUAUAGCCAACUAGUAGUUCAAUUGAUACUACUUUCAAUCCUGCUAUCCAUAGCUCAUCCAAUUGACUUCUAAGUUUUCCUCUAUCUUAGAUUCAUGUCAAUUACCAUUCUAAUCAUAAGGUUUCAUUGACCUUUACUGUUUGCUCACAAGGUUUUUAUCUACCUUUACAAUGCACAUAAUUCUCAUGAAUUUAUUACCCAAUCCUCUAGCUGGCCCAUAGGCGCGCCCUCAACUCACAUCUCAAAUCCGUCUAUGGAAGGGGACUCGAACCCCCGAGGGACCGUCUGCGGGACCCCAUAUAGGCUAUCCCUUGGGACCCCAAAUAGGCUAUCCCAAUCGUUUCACGUGCCAAGACUCCGGAGCUCGCACUACUUGUGCGGGGCGACCGCCACAAGCGCUGAACAGACUGUGUGAGUAUGAUCAAAUCCGUUUCCAACGAAGGUACCCGGUCACUAUGACCAACAUGCACAAGUGUUCUUUUAACACUACGUUCUAAUGCCACUCGUCAAGUUGUUUACUUGGUAUACAUAUGCCACUCGUCAAGUAUGUACUUGGUUCACAUGUCACUUGCCAUAAUGCAAUUGUCCCGACUAUACUAGUCAUAUAUCAUCAUAUUCAUCAAUACAAGAUCAAGUUAUUGUUUAACUUAUCUCUAUAGGGUUCUAUGUCACCAUUCCUCUAUUCUCAUGCGUCCUAACUCAAGUGCCAACUCAUGUUGCUACACUACUAUGGAUCAUGCAAGAAUAGAAAUGCGACUAUCUAAUACCCUAUCAUGUAUAUGUAUCAACUAGCAUCUCAUGAUAUGUCAACAUCAUUUAGUAUAUGCCUCAUGUCAUCAUGCAUUUACAUUAUAUGCAUCAAGAAGUGUUAUACUUUCGCUUCGACAUGGAAGUGAGCUAAUAACUUCGGUGAGCACAACCCACCUGUUAGCGCAUUCCGAUUGCUUGUCGACACUUGCAAUCGGCCUCCCGCAGCAUCCGGUGCCCGGUUCUGCCGGAACUUGCAAUUGCGCACCGACCGCGCAUCGCUUCGCAACCUCGGGCAAAAAGGGUCUUCGUUUUGUUGUUACGGUGCCUCAAAUCAGAUUCCAUGAUUUUACGACGUCGCCUCGGCCCUCCCGGCGGACCCGAAGCCUAAACGUCCGUUUCUUUAAUAACUUCGCACCGGCUCCACGAAUCGCCGAACCGUCUUCGCCAACGCGUUCGUUUACCUAUCAAUUAGGUUUACGAAGGGUCAAAUUAGAUCAAACCCCACCUAAUUUGCAAACCCCCAUUUUCACACCUUAGCCUCAACAUAUGCUCCAAACAAUCCAAAUAUUAAGGAUUUAACAAGCUAACUUCACAUUAGAGGCUAUUAGAACCCUUAAAGCUAAGGAUUAAGCCAAAUCCCAAAAGCUUACCCCAAUGUGAACGCCGCAACGAAAACACGUCGCUCCAACGGGCGCACGAAAGCUCAAUCCGUCGCCUCCAACGCGUUCGCAAGCUCGAUCUCCACCAACGCCGCGAAUUUGGGCGAAAGAUCUAGAGAGAUGAGAGAGAUAUUUAGAGAGAGAAAGAGAGGGUUUCUCUCUCCUUCACCAUGAACGCAUGGUAGUGGUGAUGGUGGUCGGCUGAUGGAGAGGGAGAAGCCUAGUAGCUUCUACUUAUAGUCAACCCUCAAUAGUAGCAUACACUAUUCACAUCAGGCAGCUCCAAAUCUGAUAUCUUUCGCCGGAGCUCCCUGAAUAUCCGUUUGAGCUCAAAUUUGACAGUCAUAUUCGGUUUUACUUAAAGAGUCCAAAGAAAUUUUAAUAUUUCAGUUUCGACCCCAUUUGGUCACCGAAAACUGUGCCGAACUGCAAUCUUUAUCAGAUGGCUUUCGGAUUUUAUUUCUCACUCUACGGGGGUCAGAAAAAUAUGAAACUUUAAAUCUAGCCUCAUUAAAAUAUUUCCGACUUAUCCUCCAAUUUUUAUAAUUUUAUGAGACUGUGCAUUUUCUGCUAAUUUAUCUGUUCCGUUUCCAACAGAAAAUUCUAGAUCUUCUGUUUUCGCUCCGAUUUCAGCACAAGUCACUCCUGACUUAUGUUUUACUCCUCUAAAUCCAAUAAAAAUAGUUUCUCAUACUAUUUUUAUUUAUUUUUAUUUUAUAUUUAAAAAAAAUCCAGUAUGUUACAUUCCACCGCAACCUCACCGGAACCAUUUAAAUGUACACCGUAACUUCAUAGUUUUAGAAGUCCGGUACCUUACAUCGAACAUCCCCAAUUUCUUAAUUAAUUUUAGCUUCGCGUCAUCUAUCGGCCCCCUUCUUUGUUUUUGGUCUAGAACUAUUUUCUUUUUCUUUUUCUUUGCGAGUCCGGAUUGUAGGUCCCGUUGUGUUGCAUUCAACUUGCAUUAGAGAACCUUUUAAUAAAAGGAUUUGAUUGCAUACAACAUUUCAUGUUUACAUUCAUCCUACAUAAGAAGGUGCUACUCCACUGGAGUAUGUGUGUAAUUAAAAAUUAAAGUCAAUCCGCAAAAGAAUAACAAGAAAUUCUUAUUCGGAGGCUCCUUUGGCAGUAGAGCAGCGAAGCAAAAGACCAAAAGAGGGGGCAGGUUGAUAGCAAAAAUUAUAUUACACUCGGGGUAGCUCAGUGGAAUAUACAACAUACAGGGCACUACUGGAACCUAUUGGACUGUGUAAAAGCAGAACACGUCCCAACGGCAAAUCGGGCACCAAACAAGAAUCAAAACGAUGGCCAGAACAUAAGCUACCUAAAUCGAUCGUCAACCUUGUAUCUCGUCCCUCGACGAAGUAAACAAGGCAUGUCAUCUGUCUCAUAGAAGAAUCUAAUGAGCGGUAGGGUAUAUUACAUAAAUUGAUACUCAUAGAUGAACAUGAGCUGAGCAAUACUGAGCCACUCCUUACAAACUACAUGUAACGAAUCAGAGCCCUAAACCUAAUCUACUUCUCUUUAAAAAAAAAAAAUUUCAAUUUUUCAUCCCUUCUUUCCUCGUUUUCUUGCCUUGGGAAGCCCAUGACACACGUAGAUUCAGUAAUAGUAAAGCAAAAAAUUAUGAUGUGUAAAACAAUUCCUAUAUAAGACAUGGUCUAUGGCAGUAGUUUAUUUGACAUUAGAUGUUAAUAGUGCCCCAAAAGUUGCAUUCCUGGCAACAUUUAAAUACAUGCAUUUUAUAAUACAUUUUGAUGCGGGACAAAUUAGGAUAACUCUAAUCUAUCUUGCAAGUGAUGAGUCCAAAAUCAAUUUAAAACCAAAUUUAGAAUUUUCUAAAAAUCUUUAGAUUAAUUUUUAGUUUUUUUAAUUUAUAAAAGAAUUAAUGAAGUUUUAAAUUAAUUUUCAGAAUUAAAAAAAAAAGAAAAAAUAAAACAAGUAGUACGGCUCUAAGAAAAGGUUCAAAUUUUUUUAUUUUGUAAUUUUUUUUAAUAAAGUAGCCAAUAAUAGGGGAAAAGAAAAUUUAGAAGAAGGAGAAGAGAGAAAUAGAUGAAAGGAGAAAAGAAGAAGAGAAAGAGAAUAUAGAAUCUCGUAGAAAGAAGAAUCUUGCCGGCGCACACAGCAGAGAAGAGGAAGGGAAGAAGAUACCAUGAUCGCAGUCAAAACACAAAUCCAAAUUUUAUUCCAUCAUCACUCAUCUCUCCAAAUUACAAGGCAUAGGCUAUAUUUAUAACCUUCCAAACAUAAUCCUAAUCUAAUUCAAAUUCCAUUAUUUUAGGAAUCUUUUCUAAUUCGAAUAUAUCUAUAAAACACCUAAACUAUAUCCCUAAUUUUUAGAGAUUUAUUUCAUAUGAUAAAUCCUAAAAAAAUCUUUAAACCAACUAAAACAAAUUAACAAACAAAAUAAUUCCAAAAAUUAGAAAAAAUAAUUAAAAACCUAAACGAAUAAAUAAUAUUUGCAUCCAAUUCUGCAUCACAUUCCUUGUCACUAUUUCAAGAACAACUCAGGGAUUGGCUAGUAUUUUACCAUCACAAUCCAAGCCUCAAAUGCAUAAACAAGAGGAGACCACAAAUUAUCAAGAAGCUUAUAGAUGAUACCAGUGGUGGAUCCAAAAAAUUUUCAUAGUAGGGUAAUAUAUAAUGAACAAAAAUAUAAAAUAAAUAAAGAAUUAGUGUACUAAAUAUAUUUUUAUGUACUAUAACAACUCAAACAACUACUAUUUACAAACAAAAAGAAUAAAUUCACAAGUAAUAAAAAGCAAAUAGAAAUCAAUACACAUAUCUAAUACUUUGCAACCCAGUUAAAAAAUUGGGUGGAAAGAGAUUUAGUAGGCACGUAAGUGGUAUUGGGUUUGGUCUUUGGAGUCUUAAUAAUACACUAAUUAGAUUAUCAUGUGGUUAAAAUAAGCGUAAGAAAAAGAUAGGAUGAAAAAAAGUUUGGAUUUUUUAUUUUUUAAAGAUGCUGCUACUGCUGGAUCCACUACCCUUUUUUGUGUUCGACUUUUAACCCUCUGUCUUCUUGGGGGCCCACUACCACAUGGGCCCACAAGAAAUAAAGAGAUGGCACUGGUACACAGCACCAUCUUUUUUAUUGACCUCACUUUGGGGCCAUUUAUGUUAGGGUCAACUAGCCCCAUAGUAGGGUCAAAGAGACAAUGGAAGGCCUUUCAUUAGUUUACAUUAGUGGGGUCAAUAGACCCCACUGAAGUUAAGGUGGAUUUGCCACUACAUGAUAGUUCAACUAAAGACACGCCAACACAAAUAUCACAACCUUCGAAGGCAAUAAUAAUUCUAAUAAAACUAUGUGAUUCUAAAAUGCAGAGUGUUGUGAGAACCGAUUUGGUAUAAAAGAGAGGACCUUUCUUACAAAAUAACCUCUAAAAUUUUAUAAUUUGCGAAAUAACCCAAUCUAAUUGAUAUUUGGCAAACUAAUUCUCGAAACACGGUGAAUCGUUCACCGCAUUUUGAAAGAUUUCAAGGUCAUUUAAAGGCAGUGAAUCAUUCACCGCAUUCAUUAAGGCGGUCAAUGAUUCACCGCCUUCUUCAUAAUUUUUUGGAAAGAGAAAAAAAAGUGAGGUUGUUAAAAAUUGUACGUAGAUUAUACGGGAAAUAAAAAAAGUGAGGUUGUUAGGAUUGUAUAUGGAUUAUUAGAAUUUUUUUUUGAUUGUUAGAAUUUGUAUGGAUAGAUUAUUAGGAUUUUUCUUAUUGCUAGGAUUGUAUGGAUAGAUUAUGAGGAUUUUUAAGUUCUUAAGAUAUGUGAUGUUUGAUGAUUAGGAUUGUAUGGAUAGAUUAUUAGAAUUUUUUUGAUUGUUAAAAUUGUAUGGAUAGAUUAUUAGAAUUUUUAGAUUGUUAAGAUACAUGUGAUUUGUUGAAAUAUUUAUGUGAUUGCUAGGAUUAUAUAUAGGAUAUAGAAAGAAACAGUAAAUAAGUGAAAGACAGUGAAUUAUUCACCGCUUUUGUGAGGAAUACGGAAGGCGGUGAAUCGUUCACCGUCUUUAUGAAGGCGGUGAAUCAUUCACCGUCUUUAAGAGAAAAUUCCAACAUAACUCCUACAUGGCAAAAAAAAGGAUUAGUUUUUCAAAUAUAAUUUUAGCAGGUUUAUUUCGCAAAUACCAAAAUUUUAGAGGGUUAUUUUAUUUAAAAAAAAGUCCUAAAAGAGAGGUUUAAGGGUCAGAGAUUCAACCAACGUCGAAUUAGGGUUUAACCAUAAUUACAGCAAAUAGUUUUUUAAUAAAUGUAUGUUAAAAAAAUUAUACAAGAUUUGUUGUGUUCAAUGCCUAAGUGGUCAACGAACAGUCAACCUUUUACUUAAAAAGGUUUGAUAUUCAAACCCUAUAACACCCAAGAAGUGGAAUUUUCCUUUCUAUUCUUUUCUAUUCUCAAUAGGGGCUAAUAUGACUGCCCAAUUUAAAUUGUUUACAGCAUAAAUUAGCCAAUUCUUUUUACGAUUUUCUUCAUGAAACGAUUUGUAAGCUAGGAUGAAAUAGACAAUACCAAAUUGGCAGUCGGACCAGUUCCUAGUUAAGCUGUUCCAACCAGCCCGUCAGUUCCGGCUUUCUAAACCUAGAAAAUAUACCUAACAAUAACAGUUCCAACCUCCUCUAGAAUAGCAUUAUUGAUGCACUUCGGAAAUGAGCCUUCUCAUAUUUUUAGCUCUUUAAGUUCUAAUUUUUGUUUAAGAACUUAUGUUUUAAUUGUGAUUGAUUAGUCAUUUUCAGAUUGUUAGUGGUGUGCCAUUCCGAUGAUGCACAUGGGUGGGUAUUAAGAAGAUAUCUAUCUUCUCCAUAAUUGCUUUGAUUUAUUCACUGGGCUUUUAAUGAUUUUAGAAGCUGUUCGAGUCCGAUUCAAGUGCAAUCUUAAAUUGCCCAAUCAGUUUACUUCUAAUUGAGUUAAUUCUUUCAUCUUUGCACUUUUGGUUCAGAUCUGAAUAACUGGGGCUUCAUAUUUGGGUUUGGGUUUCAAUUAAUGCCCUAUGAUUCAUUAAACCCUAGCAGGUUCAACCUAUUUUCCUAAUUGCCAGACCCUUUUCCUUUGGAUUGCUUGUCGGACUAUUAUCGGUGUUGCCUGACCCUUGUCCUUUGGAUUUCUAGUCGGUCUAUUAUCGGUGGAUCUAAUUAAAAUAACUAUUUGCUGGUUCCGGCAUUGAGGUAAGAUGUUGGUAAUUUUCAGCUGAGGUUUCUGCAUCCUCUUGCGUCGUCUCUGCUUUGACGAUCUCCUCCUCUCUUUCAGCCAUGGGUUAGGCCCUUCUCUUCUCCUCUUUGCUGCCCCUGGAUUGGGCAUCCUCUUCUCUCUUCUCUCUCGCGCUCUCCUCUCGCUGCAUCCUCUUCUCUCUUCUCCUGCUGCGCUGGAUUGGGCUUUCUUUUCUUCCACACCCUCCCUUUGCUGCCAUUUAUACGCUACCAUCCUUGCUGCUGUUCUUCUCAAACCUGACCACUGUUAGAGCCCAAUUGAUGGUGAUUUAGAAUAAGGAUUGUUCCAGACUGAACUGCAUCUGAUCAAGGCUUCAGUAUUAUUAAUUCUCGACAGCCUUCUGAAGAUAAAAAAAGUCCUGAGCACACCAAUAGGUUCUUGGUUCCUAUUUUAUUGACUUUUUGCUCAAUUUUUAUUAGGUGUGCAUCGGAAUAUUUAAUUUCAGAAUAAUAUAGCUUUUCUAUUUGAGUUAUUAUAUUUCCAGCUGCCUCAGUUGUUCCAUGCUUUAUUCCCCACUUACCUCCAUAGUCGUUAGAGUUUUCCCUCAAAGCUAUAGUUAUCCCUGCAAUUAUCAUAGCUAUCACUUUGAUGUCAAAUUAAACAUGAAAUUGACUUUGAUCUUGGUAAUUCUGUAAUAAUGGGAUAAUUAGGGAUAAGAAUAGUUACUGCCCUAAAUUUACGCUCAAACCAAAUUGUACCAUAGAUAUAAAGGCGAAUACAUGUAAAAAUGACCAAAAAAACAAGUUAAUAUUCAAAAUGCAAAAGAAAUGUGCGAUACAAAACAGUUGAACAUGGGACAAGAAUCUGCUUCUGGCUUCUAACAAAGCCAAAGGGAGAAAACUAACCUCACAGAUAUAUUGAGUCCACAAGUCCUUUGAAACCAGUACCUGGCUUUGAACAUCACCAAGUUCUUCACUACAUGCCAAAGAACUAGCAUUCUCGCACAAAAAAGUUCUAAGUAAAUCAACACAAUCGCCCACAAUUUUCGUAUGCCAUAUAUCUCCUGCCUCGCCUAGCAAAACAUACAUUUGAUGAAAGGCAAAAAAGCAAAAAAAAAAACUAAGUAAAUGAUAAUUAUGAGGUAACUAGGUUUGAUCAAGAGCCAAAAGAUAAGAAAGCAUACAAAAGAACGCUUUUGUUGCGUCAAUAUAAUUCAAGUCCCACCCAAAGUCUUUUUUCAACCGAUGAAGUCUUCGUCUCUAAACAUAACAAAAAGUAUAAAUUAAAGUCAUAAUAAAUAGUACAUGAUUUAAAGGAUGCAACGAAAAGCAGGUAUUAGAGGAGCAGAAAGUGUUUACUUGACGGCGGACAAGCUUGCGCGUGUUGGCUUUUAGCUUGCCAAUGGCUUCAUUUAACAAAUUCUUCAGUUUAUCAUCAUUGGAAUUCAAAACAUCAGAAACAGCAAGUUUAUGACGCAAAUCAGCAUCUUUGUUGGCAAAGUAACUUUGAAAGAAGUCGUUAAAUUCACGAAUGCCAAUAGCCUGAAACAGCCCUCGAGUAUAAACAGCAGAUGGAUUGUAAAUAGCACGCACUUCAUUCAACAGACCAGAAUCAAUCAUGCAAUCAACUCUUUGGUCAACAUAUCGAUCCAGUACAGGAAGGGAAGCAUCCAGCCAUAUAAAAAAACAAUUGUAUCUGAAAUUGCUCACUCGACCCCACUUCUGUCCUGCCAACGAAAGAAUCAGAUUUCUUUCAGAAAAGAGCAUCACUAUUUGCAUCACAUAUUACACAGCUUUUAGCACAAGCAUGAAAUGGAGGGAAUUAUGUACACAAUAGUAAGGGAAACCAUAAUAAGGCAAGUACACUGCACUGGAAAAGAGGAGGCAUAGCAGAUUUAGAAUGAUUAGAAAGACAUUUGGAUGGAGUCAAGUACAUGUGCUAAGUUGCUACAUGAUUUAAAUUAAAAAAAGGGAUAAUUGCCAAUAUACCCCUCAAAACUUCGAAAAUAUCUCAUUUACCCCAACUUUUUUUUUCUUUCCAAUAUACCACUCAUAUGUUCCUCCGUUAUUUCAAAAUAUCCCUGCAGUUACCAUCCGUUAAGUUAACUUGGGUUAAACGUAAGUUAAAUAUCUACCAAAGUUAAAAAAAAUCAAAAUGUUUUUUUUACCUUAACUUAAGGGCAAAUAAGAAAUGUUGGUGAUGGUAAAAGAGUAUAUUUGAAAAGAUCAAAAGUUAAAAUACUUUUUGUGCCCCUAACUUAAGGGCAAAUAAGAAAAGUUGGUGAUGGUAGAAGGGUAUAUUUGAAAGGGCAAAAUAGUAAUUUCCUAGAGAUAACAGCUAUUGUUAACAGAAUUUAACUCUAGGGGUAUAUUAGAAAUAAGUUAGAACUUAAUGGGGGUAUUUUCAAUAUUAGCCUUCUAAGAGGGGUAAAUCAGAAAGUCGAAAACUUUUUAGAGGUAUAUAAGCAAUUACCCCAAAAAAGAACGAGUAGCAAUGCAGUAAACAUAUAUAUUUCCAUACUAAAACAUGAAGCAGCUGCAAUAAAAUAAGGAUGUAAAAUUGAAGAAAUACAAAAGUACAGAAUCAUGUUUCAAAGUUAAAAUAAAAUGCACAAAACAUAAAAUCCACUUAAAGGAAAAGGCAAUGCAAGAAGCUACACAUGAUCCAGGUGAUACAAGCAUAAUAAAACUAAACCAAAUUACCAAGUUUCACAUAGAUUUUCAUAAAUAUUCUAUGCUAUUGCCAGAUUUCAUAUUUACUCAUACAUGCAGAUGUGAUGUUUCCCAAAAUUUCCACAUAAAGAAAUACUAUUUACCCCUUAAAUGGAACAUACUCAACUUUUCUCAAGUAUCAUCCGGCUAAUUAAUGCAAAGGGCAGCUGGGUUGUGUUAAAAAACUAGUCAAAUAGACUAAUGGCAUAUUUGCCCUUGAUUCAAAAGUUGCAAAACUUCAUGAAAGAUACACCUUAAAGUUGAAAUGUUGGGAACAUCAUAUAAAGCUGACAAGUCUCAUAUUUAUCACACACACCUUCACCAUCAACAAAAACCUAUGGGGUUGCUGAAGAAGAUGACUGACCAUGGUUGGCUUAGAAAGAAAUUUUUUGCCCCCUCUUACAAAAAGCAAACACUUGUGCUAUAAUUAUUGUACUCAAGAGAAUUACAUUUGAGGCGAAAAUUUGUAAUAUAUUGUAAUAGCAUAUGUAAUGAGGGCAAGCAUUAAUAGUUAACAAGGUUCUCCAAAUCAGUUUAGUACAACUGCCUCACCUCUGCAGCCUUUCCUCGGUAUAAGUUACUAGGGAGAGCACCCGAGCUAGCAUGUAAGCUGAGGUACCGAUUUAUCUGCAGCAUGCGUCAGAAAAUGUUAGCAAGGAAAAGGAAUAACACAAUGUUAGAGAAAAAUCCAACAAAGGAAGCUUCAUAUGCCCGAAAGAUAAAUACACAUAGACCUCAAAGAAGCUAAAUCUUACUGCUAAUUGAUGAUUCUAAAGAUAUAGAGAAGCAAAAUAAAUAAUAAUACAAGCUAGUAACCUCUCACAGAACAUCAAAAAGGAAUAAAAAAACGAAACCUCAACUUGGAAACUUUCACGUGCCUCGUGUGAGAAACUUAAAUGCCUGUAACUACGAGCAGAUAGGAGAAAAAAACACAAUAAAGUGCAUAGCUGGAAGAACAUAUUUUUUCUUCAUAAAAAGCAGGCACUAUGUGAUGUUCUGUCCCUUGUAUCCAUUUCACAUAUUUCACAAAUGACAUAGCAAAAAUCUGUGAACUCACUAAGAAUCUAAGAUUAACCUUUCUUAGGGGCAACCAAUAUGGAAACCAAGCUAUGAAAGGUGAAUUGAGGAAGGGAAAAAGAAAAACAUAAUGUCCUUACUUUUCUCUGGUCAUUUGGGUGGAUCCUGUUUGCAGCAACUGGAUCGAUCUCCUUAAGGCGCUCAUACCCUCCGCUCACAUCAAAAUCUUUAAGAUCUAAAUCAACAGAUGAAAGGCAUAAAAACUAAAGACUCAGAGAUAAACUUCACUAGAUGCAGGGCACGUAAAUGUCCUUCACUGAUUUCACCUGAUAGGUCAGCGACAGAGCACUCAUGCAAGUCUUCUAACACAUCAUCGACAAGGAAUGGACUCACAAGAGCCUAUCACAACCAAGAAACAAAAAAUUUAACUAAUCAAUCACUGAGCUAGAAUCCUACUACAACUUGAGUAUGCUAAGAAGAUUAUUUGAAAGGAACUCAACCUGGAUAUAGUAAUUUGUGCCACCAACAAUAACUGGAAGGCCAUUGCGUGAUAAUAUGUCAUCAAUGAUCUUUAACAACCACAAAAUAUUGAAUUCAAUUCAUAAGAUACAAUCAAAAUCCCCUUCUAGAAACAUGAAAUAAAAGAAGAAUAUUUAAGUAGAAUUAUACCGGAAUAGCAAGAUUACGGAAAUCUCUGGAAGUGAACUCCAUAGAAGCAUCAAUCAUGCCUAAAAGAUGAUGAGGAACACCUGGAAUCGAACAAAUAUUGUUAAGACUAUUGUUGAACUGUUUCCUAAUAGACUGAUUUUCUGGCGACAAUAGCAAAAUUGCAAAUGACGACCUGAACUUUAAAAAGUAAGAAAAAAGGGGUAAAAAAAAUCAUUAUGCGAACUUACAAUUCAUCCCAAUCAGCUACCUCACCCCAAUUUUAUUAUUUUUGUUAAAUAAUCAAUGACAAUAUAAAGAUACAAUAUUCAUCUAACCCAAAAUUAUUUAGAAAUUCAGAAGCCAAAGAAGUAAGCAUAAACAUUUAACGAUCAAAUAACUGCCAUAUGGAGAUGUACUAUAAGUCUAUAAUUAGUUACGGAAUGUCACAAGAAGUGAGGAAAUUGGGACGGGUGGUUGAUUGAAAACAUACUGUAAGUUCCUGCAACAUUUAUAACUUUUCAAAGUUUGGAUGGGCAUGAAUAAUUGUUAAUGUUUAGGGGGAGUAUAAGUGUAUAACAUAUUUUUCCACAGUUAUGUUGUAAGCGAUAAGACGAGUAGAUCAAACGAUCUCUCUAAAAGCUAAAACUAAUAAAGAAAGGAGUUUUUAUUAAUUUAUAUUCAACACUCACCCUUGAGAUUUUUUGAUACUGAUAGGCCCAAAACGUGUAAACUUAAAUUAACGGAGAGAAACUAAUACUUUGUUUUGACAGAGAGAUAUGACAGCCAAAAAACCAAAAAAAAGAAAAGGAAAACGAAAGAGAGGGAAAAAUAAAAAUAAAAAGAGAGUAAUUUUUUUGCUUAUUGUUUGGACUAAGGGAGGGGGAAAAAAUUACACUUCUUCUCCAUUUUUUAAGGGAAAAAAUUUAACUGUUAUGAAAGAUUAUCUUCUCCUAUUUCUCUCCAUUUUUUCUUUUUUUCGUCUGUAGUUUUGAUCCACUUGACAGAAUAUAAUUCUUUUUUUCUAACUUUCUUUACAUUUUCUCUCCAUUCAAACAGAGUGCAAAUGAAUUUAUAGCUUCAUUUGGAUUGUUGGAAAUAAUAUGGAUGAAGAAAAAAUGAGUGAAUAGAAAGAAGGAAAAAAGAGGGAGGGGAAGAAAAAAAGUAAUUUUCUUUUCUGUUGUUUGCAGUAAAGGAAGAAAAGAAAGAAAAUAACUUUCUCUUCCUUUCUCUCCACUUCUCUCCACUUUUGGAGAUAUACGUUCCUCCAUAUUUCUCUUCUUUUUCCUCGUCUAGUUUUGGUCCAAAACGACAGAAAUUUUUUUCUCCUAAUUUUCUUUUCUUCCCUCUCCUCUUCUCUCUCCAACCACACAAAGUGUAAGAGUCUGAUAAUAACAGAAUUCAAACUCAGAAUCUCAACAGAUUAUUCUAUAGGGCGUGAUUGGUUCAUGAGUCGAAUGGAAAUGAGAAAUAAAAUUGGAUUGCGUUGGAAUGAAAAAUGGAACUACGAACGAUCCAAAAAUAUUUAGUUCAUUAUUAGAAUGAAAAUCAGAAUAGAUAAUUAUGACACCUAAAAUUUAUUCCGAGAUAGAGUUUUAGUUAGAGGAGAGGCGAUUAAUGAAGUGAGAGGAGGGGAGGCGUUGGUGAGAGAGAAUUUUGAGGAUCUGGAGUCAUCUCUAUUCUAUUCCAGAGUGGAAUGAAAAUCGAAAUCCCAUCCCUAUAAAACAAACACCGACUAUCAGUAUAGAAUCCACAGCUGAAUCAGUGGACGUCGGUCUUAAGUUUUAAUUUCAGAGUCUAAAAUAAGCGAACCAAGCAAGCAAGCCCUAAAUGUUAAGAUAGCAGACAAGAAGAGGAGACCGUUGCGAUCGGAGGGAGGAGGCUUGUUGGUGACGACGUCGAGGCCGUGGUAGACCUGCAUGGAGUCGGCGUUGACGACCUCCACACCAGGGAAGACGGAGGCCAGGUCGAUCGCCAGCCGGGACUUCCCGGCGCCCGUCGCCCCCAUCACCACCACCACAGCCCCCUUCUUCUUCUGCUGCUUCUGCUUCCUCCUCUUCUCCUGCGCUGCCGAUUCGCCGCCGUCGAAGGCGAUCGUCGUCUUCUCUUCCCCCAUGGGGUCUUGGCUGCACCGUAGGAUAGUUUCGCCGCGGAACGGCUGGACGAGUCUGGGUACGCUCUACAAAAUAAAUAAAUAAAAAUAAUGGGCUAAUUGCAUACAGGUCCCGCAAACAUAUUGAUUUAUAAAUAUUUCCCUGUAAAAUUUACCUUUCAUGAGUUACUAGGGAAAGACCCGCGAUGCUGCGAAUAUAAAAAUAUUUUAAUAAUAAAUUUUGAUUUAUAUUUAUAUAUAUUUUAUAUAGUUUUAUAAGUCUAAUUAUUGAUUAAGUAAAAGUUAUAUUAAAAAUAAUUUAAUAAUUAAAUAUGUUUAAAGAAAAAUAAUUAAAACUGGUAUAUGUGCAACAUAAAUUUAUAUAACAGUUUAUUAAUAAUUAAAUUAUUUUGUAAAGAUUUAUGUGAAAAAGAUUUGAGAUAAAUCUAUUCAAAUAAUUUAAAUAAAUCAGUAAAUAAAAGAAAAAUAAUAGUAGAAGAAAUUGUUUAUAAAACUAUAUUUAUAUAUAUACAGAGAAACACACACUAUGUUUAUAAAUUGUUAUUCCAGAAAUUUAAAUUUUGUAUUUUUUCAUAUGUCGACAUUUUUCAUGAUUUAGAUUGUAUCUACCAGAAUGGAUUUUAUUACGCAAUUUAUUAUGCGUAUUAUUAAUACAAUUAAUUAAUUAUAUAGGGUUUAAGCGUUUAAACUUUGAAGUUUGAAAUUUAGAAAUAAAUAUUAUAAAAUUUAAAAUCUGGAGCUUAAAAUUUGAAAUUAUAAAUUUUAAAAUUUUAAUAUCUAAAAUUUUAAAUUUAAAAUUUAGAACUAAAAAUUAUAUAUAUAUAUAUAUACAUAUAUAUAUAUAUGUAUAUAUAUAUAUGUGUGUGUGUGUGUGUGUGUAGAAGGAGAGAGAAAUGGAGGGUUGGGGGGACACGUGUCACUCUUAAGUCCCCUCAAACCCUCCUUUAAUGUAGUUAGAUAGAUUCCUAUAAAAGUACUAAUAUUUUUAUAUAUGUCCCUAUGAUUUGUUACAGUUGGAGAACCGUUAGAAAAAUAUUUAUAUUUUCAAUUUUGCCAUUACAAAUAUAUUCCUCUAAAAAUUAUAACAGUAUAAUAUAAGAGGGGUAAAAAUAUCAAAAAUUAAUCCAGGUAAAUUAUUUAACGUAUGGUUAACUAAACUUUUCUAACGGAUUCUAACGGCAGAGAUAUAUCUGAAAAUAUUAGGACUUUUGCAGGGAUAAUUUUCACGCCCCGCGACCGCCAAUUUGGUCGGUCCGGGCACGUACACAGAUGCCGAACAGACAGAGUCUCCCCUGUCCGCCCAAGGCUCUACAACAACAACAAACAUGUAUAAAGAAUUCGCCCAGAAAGAAUUUUGAUAUGCAUGGCUUGCACGAGGGUAAACAACAGGAGCAAGUAAAAUUAAACUAGCUAUUACAUCCAUAUAUUGUAUCUUGAUUAUAUUUAACAAAAUACAAAGCUUACAUUAAUCCUCCAUUACACAUGCUCUUUACGUCCAAUUCCAGGUAGUACAUAAUACAUCAUUCCUUACAUACCCUUUUUCAUCAAAUACAAAAGAUGAAACCAAAAAGGGCACAACUAAGCUCGAUGGAAAUCCACUACCUAGGGCGCGAUGCCAUUGCCGUGAUUCUCGACCACCUCGCUCGCGCUAGGAUCUGUAAGGUUAGUGGUGUGAGAACUAAUGAAAGUUCCCAGUGGGUUCGGCUGCCGACCCCGCCGACUCACGCACUAGGUCUAGUCAAGCAUAUAUAUGAAAAAGGAAUAGAUAGUAAACCAUACUAAAGCUACUACAAUGCCUAUUUAAUAACUGAAGUAAUAAGUAAUAUGCUCAUGAUGCAUGCAUUGCACUUUUACUGUCACGCCCCGCUACCACCAAUUUGGUCGGUUCGGGUACGUCCACAGACGCCGAACGGACAGAACCUCCCUUGUCCACCCAAAGCUCCACCCAACAUGUAUAGCAAUGUAAUACACUGGAUCUUAGCAAAUUGCAAGAUUCGAGUGUUUGAUCUGUGUGUGGGGCCUUUCCACAGUUUUUAGAGGGUCGUUGAUAGUGUUCCGACCCCUGGCACGCACCCCGAGGAUGUUGGUUUGAAGCUUGGUACCAAAAUCCAAAAAUUGGAUNAUGAUAGUUGGAGACUUUUACUUCAUGCAUAGUUGCUUUCAUACUUAUGCUAUUUAUGCUAAGUAGAGAUAUCAUGUCGUAAUAAGUUACAUUUUUUUUGCUUACCUAUCUACUUUUAUAGGCACUGACAUCUUUUGUAGCUUUGGGCCUUGUGGUGCAUUCACUGAAGUCAGUAAUUGCCCACUGGGAACUAUUUUUAAUAGUUCUCACGCCCUUGUUUUAUGGUUUACUUUUCAGAGCCUUCGGCACCGGCGGAGGCACGGGAUCGCGGCAAGGGAUCGCUUAACUAGCUAGCGAGGAGCGGUACUUUGCCUAGGUGGUUUACUCUUUCUUUUUGUAGUAGUGAGAGAGAGAUUUCUGUAUCCGUGUAUAGAGACCACCUAUGUACCUACUUUUAGCACUUGUACUUGGAGAUUCCUAUUGUAUUUACUUUAUGUUUUACUUAGUGGAUUUACAAUUUUAUCCUUAUUCCUUGCUGUAGCAUUUAGACAUUUAUUAUGCUCUGAUACUCCUAGAUGUCUUUUAUUAUUGCUUUACUUAUUGUUGUUUUUAGAUGCCUUAUGCGUUUUAGACGUAUGGCGGGUCUGGGCACGUGCCGGGCGGGCUUCCGCUGGGUCCCGGGGGGUGACAAGCAAGCCAUACAAAGAGAAUGCAACUAUAGAUGGCUUGCACGAGAGCAAGCAACAACAAGUAAGGGAAAGCACUAAUGCUACUCCAUACAUCCAUAUAUGUCAUUUGAUUAUAUUUAACCAAAUAUAAGUCAACCACAUAUUACAUUCUUUUCUUUUAAUAUACAUCACAUGAUCCAUCCACCAAAACAUAUGAAUUUACAACAUUUACAUCACCAUUCAUCAUAUACAAAAGAUGAUAAGAUACAUGGUAUGACUAUACUCGGGUAGCCGCUAUCUAGGGUGCGAUGCCCUUGCCGCGAUCCUCGACCGCCCCGCUCGCGCUAGGAUCUGCAAGGUUAGUGGUGUGAGAACUAAAGAAAGUUCCUAGUGGGUUCGGCCGCCGACCCCGCCGACUCACCCACUAGGUCUACUCAGGUAUAUGUAGGAAAAGAAGAGAUAGAUAGAAAACCAUACUAAUGCUACUUUAAUACCUGCAAAGAAAACUGACUCAACGAGUAAUAUGCUCAUAAUGAUAUAUGCAUGUCUUUCACAUUUACCUUGGCUUUUACCCAAUCGUCUCGGUUAACUCAUGGUUAACCCCAAAACUCACAAUCAAAUCCCUUUCUUUUGGGGAGAAUAUCGCUACAACCCGAUUGGACCGUCUGCUAGGGAGAAUAUCGCUACACCCAGUGGUGACAACUCCGGAGCACACUGCUUGAGGUGGAGCUACCGCCCUCAAGCCUAGACCGAAUGUGAGUAUAAUCCAAUCCUCAAUUUGAGGAUGCAUAGCCAUUCAUGCCAUUCUUGCCACUUGCCACAAUGCUCUUAAGGUUUUACCUUGUCUAGCAUACCAUAUCCUUGGUGUCAAUCAUGCCGCUAAUAUCAAUAUCACAUUUGUUUACUAAUGUCAUAGUCCACGUUCAUUUCACACAUUCAUAGGGUUCUAUAUGUAUGGUCCAAUUUCAAUUCAUACGUUCUCUUAUCUAGAAGCAUACAAGAGGUUCCCAACCAUAACUACAUGUCACAUAACCCUAAAUGCAUGAAUACCACAAUACACAUAUAUGCUCAAAAAGGCAACAUAGACAUAAUGAGAAAUUCGAUGAUUUCGAAUAGCACCACCCACCUCGUAGGGAUGCCCGUAAGCCUACAAUUCACGUCUCGCGAUUUAUGGUCGCUGAUUUUCCGCGACCCUCGGCAAACGAAGCCGAAAUGAGAUUUUUCUCCACUAACUCAACGUAGACCCGUCGAAAUUUCAAUCCGAGUCUCCCAACGCGUCAGAUUAUCCACAAAUUAGGGCUACAAGAGAUCAAACCCUAGUUAGAUCUCAAAGUUUACAAAACCCUAAUAUUAACCCUAGGAUUUCUAUCUUUACCAAAUACCCCCAAAUCUCAUGAAGAUUCAUGGACAAACCUACCAUAAUAGCUUCUAGAAACAAUAGUUAGAAGAAAACACAACUAAACCCUAGCUCAAAGCCACCAAAACUCACCUUGAGUUCUAAGCUUUCUCCUCAACCCUUGCACAAUUGCUAGCUUCACCCGAAAUUAGUCUUCUUCUCCACCAAGCCCCUCUCUUGGAGCAAACCCUAGUGAGAGAAUGAAAAAAAGGGAGAGAGAGAGUAAAGAGUUUUAGAGAGAGAAAGAGAUUUCUCUUUUGAUGUUGGUGUGAGGGAAAUGAGAGCUAAACCAUCAAGCCCCCACUUAUAAACACUCACACACAUACACAAUAGCACAUAGCCCCCUCACACAACAGAGGCCAACCAUCCCUGGCAUUUUCGUGUUCGGGGUCCGGACCUUACACUUAGGGUCUAGACCCCGAGAGCAUUUUCAGCACAUUUCGACUUGAAAUUUCCUAACUUGCUCUCCCAUGUCCAAAUGCCCAUUUUAUGCACUCCGAAACAUUCGGAAUGGCUAACGGACCAUUCUAACACAUCCACCACCACACUUCGGUCAAUUUGAUAGAAGUUCGGUAUAACUCGUCCGGGAUCCAAUAUGUUACAUUUACCUUUACCUUUACCCAAUCCUGUUGGUUAACCUUUUGGUUAAGACGAACUCACCAAACCAAAUCCCUUUUUGUCAGGAAGAAUACCGCUAUAACCCGACGGGAUCGUAUGCUAGGGAGAAUUCCGCUAUCGCCCAAUUGAUGACAACUCCGGAGCUCACCGCUUGAGGUAGAGCGACCACCCUCAAGCAUAUCAGACUACCUGUGAGUAUAAUCCAAUCCCCAACUUUGAGGAUACCAUGUCACUAUUGCCACAAUGUUCAUAUGGUUUUCUUUGUCUAGCUUUCCAUGAUUCUUGGUGCUAUUCAAUUCAUCUAGCCAUAAUGUCACCUUGUUUACUAUUGUCAUAGUCCAAUACUUUGUUCGUACAUUGAUAGGAUUUCUAUAUAUAUAUAUUUCCGAAGCCUUUGUCAUUUCAAAUGUACUUUUACAUUGAAAGCAUAAAAGAGAUCCACAUAUCACUUUAACCCUACAAUGCAUGAAGACAACACUAUACACAAACAAACAUACUCAAAGAGGUGACAUAGACAUAAUGAGGAAUUCGAAAAUUUCGAAUAGCACCACCCACCUCGUAGGGAUGCCAGUGUAAGGGAAUGAAUCCUCGCCGCGUAAGUCCGAACUUCGGUCGAAAUUGACCAAAGGUCACUUCGGAAUGCUUCGGAAAAGCCGAAAGCGCCAAAAAUGGCAUUUGUGGGUUGUAGAGGACCUUGGAGGGCAUGUGUGAGCAAAUAUGCAAAAAUGCAGAUUUUGUGUGCUCUCGGGGAGGGUCCGGACCCCGUAGCUGCGAACAGCCCAGUGUAGGCUGUGCACUAAUUGCAUUGUUUGAGGGGUUUUUAUGCAAUUGGUGCUAGUAGGAUUAAAAAGGGAGGUGUAGAGAGCUCAUUUACUCCUCUCUCUCACACUUGCUACCCUAAAUUAGAACCUCUCUUUCUCUCUCUCUAAGCUCUCUCUUUCUCUCUCAUCAAGGUAGGAAUCAAGAGGAAGGGUUGGUGGAGAAGGAAGCUUGAAGGUGGAACUUCAUCUUCUUCAUCUUCUUCCUCACAUUGGGAGAAAGCUUUUGAGGUAAACUUUUGAAGCUUUAAUGGUGGAUUUCUAGGGUUUGGUUUUUAUACUCUAGAAUUAGUUUAGUGGAACCCUUAGGUGCUAAAUAGAUGCUAUAUGCUUGAAUCAAGAGGUUCUAUGAUGUAUUCUUGCAAUAGUAGCAAUCUAGGGUUCCGGUUGGGGUUUUGCGAAAUGUUAGGGUUUGGUCUAAAUUAACCCUAUAUAACCCUAAUUGCUAGGUAAUAUGACGCGUUGGUGAACUCGGUUCGGUGAUCCGUCGAGUCCGCGCAGAGAUAUCGAGGAAAAGUACCGUUUCGGCUUUGUUUCCGCCUGGAGGGCCGAGGCGACGUCCAAAAAUCGCGAAACUUGGAAUCUAGAGUCGCGGCAUCACCAGAAGGUGGGGGGUGCCACCCGAAGCAGUUGAACUCCCUUCUAUGUCCAAGUUACAUUGUUGAUCAUAUAUUCACAUGUUGACAUUAUGCUUUAUAGGGUGAUUUGGAUAGUUUCAUUUUUAUUCUUUGCAUGCCUCCUUGGUAGUGUAGCAUUGUGAGCUUGACACAUGAACUUAGGAUGCAUGAGGAUAAAGUUUUGUGACAUAGAAUCCUAUAGUAAUAAAGUUAAGCGAUGAACUUGAUCUUGUGAUGAUGAAAACAAGUGACGUGAACUAAUGUAGUAGAGGCACUAUAACAUGAACGAGUGGCAUGUAAACUAGUUGAUACAACAAAAUGAUUUGAAUGAGUGGCAUUGAACCUUGUGUCACGCCCCGGGACCCAGCGAAAGCCCGCUCGGCGCGUGCACAGACCCACCGUGUACAUCAAACAACCAUAAUGCACACAAGGCGUCUACCAAAAACUAGAAAUGAACAAGAUAAUUUCCUAACAAGGCUAUCAGAGCGAGUAAUAUAAAAUCACUAUUGUUCUAGCAUAAAGAGAUCCACAAUAAAACAAAAGACUACAAGUAGAUCCAAAAGUCUAAUGUAAUCUCUAAACCAAAAUACAUAAUACAUCUUUCCACAAAGUACAAAAACAAAGAUGAUGUCGGGUCCCUCUAAAAUAACUCCGUAGGGCUCUAACUAGUCGCUAACCCCUUGCCACGAUCCUUAGCCACUCUCGAUACGGAUGGCUCUGAAACAAACAACAAAACAGAGGGCGUGAGAACUAUUGAAAAUAGUUCCCAGUGGGUAAGUCACCGAUCUUAGCGAAAUAGAUAUAUUUUAUAUCAAAUAAAUCUAUUUUGAGGUCCAAUACAACCUAAUUCUAACCGAAUUAACCCUAACCCUAACCAAACCCGCUCCACCCCACUGCACCCCUACCCAGCGAACGCCUCAGCCUCGCGAGGACCCCUUCUCUCCUCACGAUCCCUCCCCUCUUCCCCCUUUGAGCUCGAGCUCUCCCUCUCUCCUUUACCUCUACUCAUUUCCCUCUCCCUCUUCCUUAGAAUCUCCUCCAAGCUUUGAUCCCAUUCCAGAAUCGCCCUCGCUUUUGCCCUCAAUCUUCUCCACGAGCGGGUGCUUUGAGGAGAUCAGCCGCCGCCGGUGUCGCCCUCGGCCUCCUCCUCCACGAGCGUGGCGGCGCUCCGACGACCUCCCUCCGCCGCCACACACCAACGACGAGGUCGGUGCUCCGCUCGGCUCCAAGGGCUGGGCCGACGAGCCCGGGUUUCGCCAGUGGAAGGAUAAAGAGGCCGAGAUCCUCAUCGACAUCGAGCCCAUCAUCGCCCUCACCAAGGAUAUACUCCACUCCAAGGAAGCGGAACAGUGCUCUCUGGGAUCUUGCCAUGGAUCGAUCGAUGGGAGCUCGGGGGUCGGUGAUCUUGUUAGGGCUCGUGAUCACAGGUAACGUGUCGAUCUCGCGAUCAUCGAUCUGCAUGAUUCGCUUUCAUUUUUUGAAUAUCUUGUACUGGAUCUGAUUUGGUUGUAGGAUGCGUUUGUGAACCCUAGAUCGGCAAUGGCACCCCAUUGAUCUAUAGAUGUGAUGCUUAUUCCUCUAGUUUUCUGUUUUGUUUCUAGAUAUAAAACCCUAAUCGGUGGAGAUUGCAUGUGAAUCAUUAUCUAGUUUUGAAUCGACGAUGCCAAACAUUAAAUUGCAAUUCCCGUAACAUCAUAUUAUCAAAAUUAACUUAAGCUCUUCCGAAGAACUUUUGACGGCGAUGUAGCUCCUGUCAAGGUUCACCUUCAUGCUUCAGCAUGCAACAGGAAUUUAUAUGUUUAGUAUGCUUUACUUUAAAAUUGAUAUAUUGGCCUCUUCUUAGGAUUACGAUAGAGAGUUUCUGGUUAAAUUGAGUCAUGUCGCUGCGUGCGCGGAAAUAUGGAUCAGAUACAUUGGAGAAGGAAUGUGGAUAUCAUGACAUAUACUUUGAUCGAUUAGACAAAUAUUAAAAACCAGAAGAAUAAAGUGUUUAGUAUGAAUGUAAAAAUUGUAUGAACGGAAAAAAAUUGAACAAAUUUUAUAGGCAUAACUACAUCAUGGAUAUGUGAAGAACCUACUUGGAUAUUGUAAAAACUAACUUGUGUGGUAUGGGUGUUUCUUUUAUGAUUGCAAGCACAGAGCUUGAUCUUAUUCUAUUCUGCAUGUGAUGUGAUUUAUCAUGUGCCUAAAUUGGUGCUAAACAACAUCCCUGAUUUCGUAGAAUCUCAUUUAAUUAUGAUGAUGACAUUAAAUCAAAUAUUAGGGAAUUGGAAAUCUGUUGUGAAAUAGUGAAGUGUCAACCUUUAUCUUGCGAAGACAUUCUCUAGAUCUACCUAGAAUGUUGAUAUGCACAGAGUCGAUUUAACUUGCUCAUGAGUUGAGGUAUCCAUGAGUUAUAGACUCAUAGUUAAUUGAACUAGUUCUAAAUUGAUCUAGAAGGUUAGAAGAUGAGUGCAAAAUUGACAGUUGCUUUUAAGAUGUAGAUAUUUAAAACUACAAGAGCAAAAGUAGUAAAAAUUAGAAAAGGCAUAUGAAGAUUGAAUUUAGAGAUUAGAAAAGAGAAACUAAAUUUCAAGUUAAUGGUACCUUAUUCAUUACCUUGGAGGACCCUACCAAAUGACGUCUACUUUAGUGCCAAAAUGUUGUAAUUCAUAUGGGUUUCUCAUCGUGCCUUCAAUGUGCAUAAGACCUUUCCUAAUAGUACGGGAUGAGACAAAACCUUUAGUCAACUUGAUUAUCUAGUAUUGCACAAUUUUUUUAAAAUUUUUUUCCAAAAGUUCCGACACUCUGCUCUUUACAACGCAUCUACUGCACUCAUUUCUUUUUCUGUCCAUAUGGAAUACUUUCAGGCAUGGAUCGAGUAAACUUGAACAAGUGGGCUUUGCUUCUUUGACAGUUUGGAAUAUGAAAACAUGGAAAGCUAUGGUAUAUACGAUAUCUUGGAUAUUUUUUUGACAAUUGUGCAUGAUUUAGGCAAAUAGAGCACUUAUAUUGUUUUUAUAUUUUAUUUUGUGAAGACAGUCCUUCCGCUUGGUGAGGAUCCUUCAGCAAUCACCUCACUAUCAUUCAAUCAUAACGGAAAAAUCUUAGCAGCCUCUGCUACUGAUGGAAUGAUUCAUAUGUUUGGUAUCCUUGAAUGCUAGCUAAUUAUACUCAUCAAGAAUACGUUCAAGGAGUUAUACAUGACUGUUAUCUUUUUGUUUCUGCGGAAUUGUUCUAAAGCAUUUCUCUUCAUGCCAAUGGAGUGAUUGGAUGCUUUGCAUUUAGUUUUGUAACCAUGAAUUUUCUACAACAUUCAUGUCAAGAUAUAUGUUGCUUUGUGAAAGUACAUUUAAGAGCUUAAGCUAGGAGUUCUCAUGGAUUGUAAGGUUCCUUAACUAUCCAAAGACAUGUCUGCUAGCCUGCAAAUAACAGGAUGGCCUGCCCAUGAUUCAGUAGUAAGUUAAGUUCUAUUUGGACCUGAUGAGACCAGCAUUUUCAGUUUAGGCUCCGAUGGGAAGGCAAGUAAAUUUCAGUUUCCUGAUUUAAUAUGCAAUCUCUUAUGGUGCUUGUUCCCAGAAGAAUCUCAUGGUUCAGAACAAACCUUAAUCAUUAUGGUAUUUCUUCACAAAUUUGCACCUUGGUGUAUAUCUUUUGAAAUCACUGCAUACAAUUAUCUCCUCUUCAUCUAUCAAAACUUUCAUCGGUUCUUUCCUCUAAUGUUGAGUUUGCAUUGUAUAAAUGGAGUAUUAGACUAAGUUGAUUUAUACUGCACUAACUUCAAAAGGCACUUUGCUUUUCAACAUAUCUUGUAUAAUAAAAAGAAGCAUUGGUGCUUCAAGCUUGAUAACUUAGUAGCUGGAACGAAUGUAAUUUUCUCGCCUAAACUGAAAUAGAACACUAAGUUGCAUCUUGCAUUCUUGCAUCGCACCCAUUAUCUUAGUUACUCUUUACACGCUUCAUUAAGACUAAAGUUCCUUCCAUGUUCUUGUGCCCUAAUUGGAGAAGUGAGAACCUAAGCUACAAGCAUCUAUUCUUUCACUUUAAAUAUUAUUGUCUAAAAGUACCUUCUCAUCAUGUAAUAAAGCAUUGUAGAAUUGCGAGUAUUUUAUACAAUCUAUAAUUCUAUAUAUUGUAUUCCCCGAACUUAGCUAUUGAUGGGAUGUUUAUUUUCUUAGCUCAUAAGAAAUGCUUCAUAGAAAUCCUUUGUGUAAAUAUAGAAUUGGUAUGAAUGUCAAAUUAAAUGCCUUUUAAGAGUUAGUCUUUUUUUCCUACUAUAUCAUUUACUAGUUAAUGCAUUUGUGAGGAAAGCUUUGAGGCCAUCACUUGCUGGGUUGUGUAAACAGCCUUUCCUGUAAAGGGAUUAGGCUUUCUAUAGCACACUUCUACACUUACAUUAAUGGUUGAUUUGCUUCUAAACUCCCUAGUUGUCUUAUUUUACUCUUUUUGCUAUUAUUGGUUAAGCAGAGAACAGGCUUUCAGUUUUAUGUGAAAAGGAGCGUUGAGCAGAAAGACCUACUUGCACCUCUUCCAUAUCUCCCCGCAGUUCAACCUGACAAUGUAAACCAAGUAUCUCAUUCAAAUGGGUCUGCUGCUGCAACACCCUUAACCAUUUCCCCUGCAAAAUCUUCACCAGGAGGCAUUUAGAGAAUCCUUGAUACAACUUCAGAUGAAGGGUUGGUAAUUCUUCCAUCACCAAAGGUAUGUAUCAUGCUUUCUCCUUUUCAUGCUUUCUCAUUUUCUUCUUGUUGGUACUUGUUAAUGCAUCUUUAUAUUGAUGUCAUAUUCCAGGUUGGUUAUUGUUGGCAUUCGGUUAAAUCGAAUCGGGUACGCCCAUAAGCGGGUUCGAUCCGACGGAUAUUAUGUUAUCUAAUUGGAUUGGAAUUAAUCUCGCUUUCAAAUUGGAAAGCUAAUUAGAGAUAAAUCCUAAUCAUAUUAGGAUAAUAAUUAAUAACUGAUUUGGCCUUAUCUCUUACGCUAUUAGGAUUUUGAAAUUUCAUAUAAAUAUACGGGCGAUCCCACAUAAAACGAUGAACGAACGUAAAAAGAGAGAGAAUAAGAAAACAAUAGAGAGAAACCACAUCCUCCAUUAACCUAUUAUUCUAGAGGGACUUGCACGGUGGAUUUGCGAUCGUGCUCGUUUGUAGUUCGAUCCACUGCGGGUUCGGAGCUUUAGAAGAUCUUCAAGGACGAUCCAAGGACACGUGAAUCAACAUCUAUGAUCUGGGUUCAUCGCAUUGUAACGCGAAUCGCUUCCGCAAAAAGGUACGAACGAAUACUUCCGCUUCAUUCUACAUUGGUAUCAGAGCCUUUUUUGGUUAAUUUCGUGGUCUUGAUACAUCCUUUAACGAGAUUACAUGCGAUAUAUUAAAUCUAUCAUGUUUUAGAUUUUUUCUUACAUGUAUGUCAGCGUUAAUGGCGGUUUUUUCAUAAGUAGAUAUCUUUGCAUGAUUUUUACACAUCUUGAAGCACCAAAAUUGUAGAUUUUAUCUACAAAGUUUGAUUUGAUAUGGUUUUGUAUUUUAUGAGAAAAACGAAACACUAUAUCGAAUUUUUUUGGGGGUGGCUUGUUUGAUGUGUGAUGUAUAUCCCAUUGUUAAACUUGCAUGAUUUGGAAGAGCUCAUCACAAGCUUUCUAUCGACAUAUUUCUUGCAUAAAUCAGAUUUCUAAAUCUCAUGUUAUGAUUUUUUAAAGAUUAGCUAUCUUUAAAAUAAAAAAAAUUGAAAAAUACUGUUCCGGGUGCGUGGGCGCACACGCGGACAGCACGCAGGCCGCCGGCCGCGCUGGCCACGCGGGUCGUACGCAGCCCUGAUGUUGGGCGAGGCCAAUCCUUUAUCGCCUCUACUUUCUUCGGGUCUACUGACACUCCGUCGCCCGACACCACAUGGCCCAAAAAUGUGACCUCCUUUAGCCAAAAGUCACAUUUCUUUAACUUCGCAUAAAGCUUCUCUUGUCUGAGUAUCUGCAACACUGCUCUCAGAUGCUCUUCAUGCUCCUCUUCACUCUUUGAGUAAACCAACACGUCGUCUAUAAACACCACAACGCAUCGAUCCAACAACGGCCUAAAGACUCGAUUCAUCAAGUCCAUAAAUGCUGAAGGGGCAUUAGUAAGCCCAAACGGCAUCACCGUGAACUCAUAAUGGCCAUACCGCGUACGGUACGCCGUUUUGUGUACAUCCUUUGGCCUGAUCUUUAAUUGAUGAUACCCCGAUUGGAGAUCAAUCUUCGAAUACACCUUAGACCCUUGCAACUGAUCGAAUAGAUCGUCAAUCCUUGGCAACGGGUACUUGUUCUUUAUCGUUACUUUGUUCAACUCGCGAUAAUCUACGCAGAGUCGAAGUGUGCCAUCCUUUUUCUUCACAAACAGCACCGGAGCUCCCCACGGUGACACACUCAGUCUCACAAAGCCUUUAUCAAGCAAGUCUUGCAAUUGGCCUUUCAACUCCUUUAGCUCCACCGGUGCCAUUCUAUACGGAGCCUUCGAAACUGGUUCCGCCCCGGGAAUCAAGUCAAUUACGAACUCAACUUCCCGGUCCGGUGGCAAUCCCGGUAACUCCGCCGGAAACACGUCCGGAAACUCACACGCAACCCGGAUACUUCCAAGGUCUGGGUGCUCCCUACGGCCAUCAACCAUAGUUGCCAAAUAGGCCUUACAUCCACCCUUGAUCAUCCUCUUGGCCCUCACUGACGAUAUGGUCGCCGCAAAGCGCGCACCCUUGCACGCCCGGUACACAAAUUCUUCUUGGUUAGGUUCACGGAAAGUGAUAACCUUACUUUCGCAAUCGGUACACUUCGGAAAGUCCGAAGGUGUUAAAAUGAUUAAAGGUGAGUUACGGGAGGUUUUCGAGAGCUUGAGAAUUAAAUUCUGCAAAACUGCAGAUUUUGAGCUCUCGGGGACCGGUCCCUGGUGGGAGAGACCGGUCCCCGAACGCGUGCAGAAUGAGACAGCCGAAAAAUCGGCUAAGUCCUGAGAAACCAGCUCUCGGAGACCGGUCCCUCCCCGAGAGACCGGUCCCCGAGAGACCGGUCCCCCAAUGAGAGACCGGAUGCAUUGCGCGCAGCAGCUCUGGCUGCGCUGGGAGAGCUCUCGGAGACCGGUCCCUAGUCGGGGAGACCGGUCCCCGAGCCCGAAAUUUGCCCAGUCCAGGCAGUUGAAUAAAGUAAAAGUUGAGGGAUUUAUUAGCAAUUUUGCAACCCAAGGGUUAAGUGGGGCUGAGAGAGAGCCUUCCUCUCUCAUUCCCUCACCCUCUCACACUCUCUUCUCUCUCUCUCUUUCUCUAGAAGACAAAGAAGAAGAAGGAGAAGAAGAAGAAAGGAAGAAAAGAAGGAAAGGAAGGAAAAGAAGGUGAAGAAGAAGCUUUUGGAGCAAAGAGGCUUCAUCUCCUUCUUCUCUAGUGCAAGAAAAGGAAGCUUACAAGGUAAGCUUUGAACCCUAAUGUAGUAAAACCCUAGAAAGGGGUUUGAAUGAACCUAGAAAUGGUUUUAAUGGAUUGUUUGGAGUUUUUGAAGCUUUCUUUUUGCUUCUUUAGAGAUCAAAACCUAGGUUUACUAUAGAGGUGAGCUUGGACCACCUCUCAUGGUGAAAUCCAAACUAGGGUUUUGGAAAGCCUAAGAAUGGUUCUAAUGGACUAUUUAGAGUAUAAUGAAGCUACUUUUGCUUCCCAAUGAGAUCAAACCCUAGGUUUUGUAUAUGCAAUGGAGCUAGGGCACCAAAUUGGGGUUUUUGCUCAUGAGGGUUUCUAAGUGCAAUUGACCCUCCAAAAACCUAAUUGGGGGUAUUUCCGACGCGUUGGUGCGCUCGGAUUAACGUUACGAAAAGUCAAAGUAAAGUUAAGAGCAAAAUGGCCUAAUAAGGGUUCGUUUUGCCGCAGGUAAAGAGCGAAGCAUCUAAAAAUCCCAAGAAAAUCAUCGGAGCACCUUUGAAAGCCUACGAGGUGGGUGGUGCUUCUCAAACUCAUUGAACUUCUCUCUAUGCCUAAUGUGUCAUUCAUUUGAGCAUAUGUUACAUACUUGUUGCAUGCAUUUUAGGGUAAAGUAUGAUGAAAAUGUAAUGAUGCAUGAUUGUGAGUACAACUUGCAUAAUAUGAUGAAUGAGAACUAUGUGAUGUCAAAACCCUAAGUGUAUGCAUGAGAGAAAUGUGAGCACCCAAAGUGAGCAAAAGAACAGAGUGGCACAAUGACAUAGAUCGAGUGGCAUCCGAUAAAGCUAAUGUGAAAUGACACUAGAGUUAGUGUGAUGUAAAGAACUAAAGUGAUAUAAAGAACUACAGUGACGUAAAGAAUGAUGAAAAUGACAAUGUAUAAAGUUAAAGUAAAGUAGGGCAAUAAGAACAAGAAUACUAGAGUUAGCAAGGGUAAAGGAAAUGUAAAGAAUAUGAUUGCAUGAGUUUGCAACGAAAAAUGAUGUAAAGAACACUAGAGCUAGUGUAAAGUCAUGAUUGAACUUAUAAAUCCUUUGAGUUAAGGAUAUGAUCAUGCUUGCUAUGAGUUCCGUGCUCGAGGGCGGUCGCUCCCCCUCGGGCGAUGCGCUCCGGAGUUAUGCAUCCGGGUUGGAGUAGACCCGUAAGGACGGUCCUAGCUGGUGAGUACCUGCGAUGAUGGACUUAACGUGAGGCAAGUUAAUGUGGCGAAACCCCCGGGUUAGCCUUAAUGAUUAAAGAGCAAAGAACAAAGAAUAAAGAACAAAGAGUAAAGUGAAAAGAACUAAAGAACAUGCAUAAUCUGCAUCUAUUAAUGUUGAGCAUAUUCCUUGCUUUUGUUCAGGCAUAUUAGCAUCAUGUUAUAGAUUGGUUAUUAUAUUCAGCUUAUCCUUUCUAUUAUGCCUGAGUUAGUCCUAGUGGGAAAGUCGGUGAUGUUGAGGCCGAACCCACUGGGAACUUUGUUGUAGUUCUCACCCCACUAUUUCCACAGAGCCGGGACCGAGCGAGCCGGCGAGCGACCGCGGUAAAGGUAUCGCACCGUAGUCAGAGGCCACCGGAGUUGGGUCACAUUUUGUUAGUAGAUACCCUUUUAUCAUCUUUUGUAUUUGAUGAUUUAAGAUUUUAAUGUAUAAAGUAAAGAAAGGAAUGUAAGCUUAUUUUGAGGUAAAUGUGAUGUAAGAAAGAAAUGAUGAAGUGAUGUAAUGAAAUGAAAAGGAAACCAAAGUGUAAGACAUGAAUGCAAUGUAUAUGAUCUAAAAUGAAUCAUGUUACUUGUGUAGAUGUUUAGUUUCCUUUCUUUCACUAAUGGCUAUUGCUUACCUUCGUGUAAGCCGUUUGUGUAUGUUUCCGCUAGUGCUUUUCUCUAUUGAUGAAAAUGUGCAUGUGAUGAGCCUUGGGCGGAUAGGGGAAACUCUGUCCGUUCGGCGUCUGUUUGACGUGCUCGGGUCGAACCAAAUUGGUAUCGGUCCCGGGGCGUGACAUUCAGGGCCGCGCGUGGACUGCGCGGGCUAACAGGCCCGGUGCGGGCCGCGCGGCCCAGCGCUUGCCGAUCGCGCAGGUUGACCCGCGAACGGGCCCGCAGUUGCUCGGACCUGCUAAUUUUUUUUGGUUUUCUGCACCAUUUUUUUUAAUAAAUUUUUAAUAUGCAUUUUUUAUGGCUAAAUAUGCUUUUGUGAUAUAUAUGACGCAUGCAUUUAUUAUGUUUCAUGCAUAUUAAAAUAUUAUAAUGCCUGUUAUGAUGUAUAGAUGUAACUUUAGGCAUAAUAUAUUUUUUAUGCAUGCUUUGUCAAGUGGGAAUCUUUUAUUUUUGGUUGAGUAAAUUAUAUGCUUUUACUCCCAAAUAUUUUUGUGCAUCUUAAUUAUAUAAUUUAAAAAAUUUGACAUAUGGUGCGUGAUGAGAUUACGAGCAUAGCGAAAUUUUCCUUUACGCAUGUAUGAUCUAUUUUUAAUUUAUUUAAUUAGAGAUGCGGCAAAAUUGAAUACAUGUUUCGUGUACUAAUUUUAAAAUAUCUUUUCUGUGCAUUGCAUGAACAAAGUGAGAUUUAAUGGCUUCCAAACAAAUUAUUGCCGAUUUAAACAAGGGCGAGAAAUUGGAUGGUGACAAUUAUGAUAUUUGGCACCGUAAAAUUCAAUAUGUUCUCGCUGAGCAAGAGGUUUUGGAAAACUUGAGUAAUAAAAUGGACUUACCCACAGAGGACACCAGUGCUCAGGCUCGCCGAGAUAUGGAAGCCUACAAUAAUUGGCUUAAAAAGGAUCGCAUUGUUCGCAUCACGUUGCUGAGCAGUAUGCAGAAUGAUCUCUUGUGCGAGUGUGAGCAGUAUCCGACUGCGUAUGACAUGUGGGAGGCUCUCAAAGAAAAAUUUGGUGCAACUUCGGCUACAAGGUUGCGCAGUCUGACUAUGCGGUUUGAUAGUUAUAAAAAGCGUGUCGAUUAGACUAUUAAAUAGCAUGUUAGAACAAUGUCAAACAUGAUUCGCGAGUUAAAGUCGGCUGGCGGCACCUUGACUGAUGAGCAGCAAAUCCAAGCUAUGAUUCGCUCCCUUCCCAAUUCGUGGGAACAUAUGCGAGUAAAUUUGACCUAUAAUGACAAUAUCAAAACUUAUGAGGAUGUUGCGCGUCAUUUGGAGUUGGAGGAGGAGCGCCUUGAGGCUGUUAAAACUCCAACUGCCAAUGCUGCUCGGUCAAACUUUCGCAGGACAUCUGGGUUCAAGCGAAAGAGGACUACUGGGGCUCAAAAUCAUAGCGAAUUCGCGCCUAAGAACGCGAAGAGCACUAAAAGAAAGAGAAACAAACGAGGUGGCAAGAAGGACAAGUCAAAGAUGACUUGUUUCAACUGUAAUCAGCUGGGACACUUCGCUCGUGAUUGCACUGAGCCGAAGAAGGUACAUCUCUAUCCCGAUUCUCGUUCUUUUGUUUCUUCUAACAUGUUUGUUGCUGAAUCUCUUCCUGUGUGGAUUGUAGACUCAGGAGCAACAGUGUAAGGUACCGGACUUCUAAAACUAUGAAGUUAUGGUGUACAUUUAAAUGGUUCCGGUGAGGUUGCGGUGGAAUGUGACAUACCAGAUUUUAAAUAUAAAAGUGAAAAUAAAUAAAAAUAGUAUGAGAUACUAUUUUUAUUGGAUUUAGAGAAGUGAAAUAUAAGUUGGGAAUGACCUGUGCUAAAAUCGGAGCGAAAAUAGAAGAUUUAGAAUUUUCUGUAAGAAACGGGGCAGAUAAAUUAGCAGAAAAUGCACAGUGUCAGAAAAUUAUGAAAAUUGGCGGAGAUGUCAGAAAGAAAUAUUUUUAUGAGGCUAGAUUUAAAGUUUCAUGCCAUUCUGACACCCGAAAAGUAAAAAAUAGAAUCCGAAAGCUAUUUGAUAAAGAUUACAGUUCGGUACAGUUUCGGUGACCAAACGGGGUCGAAACUGAAAUAUUAAAAUUUAUUUGGACUUAUUAAGUAAAACCGAGCCUGCUUGUCAAAUUUGAGCUCAAACGGACAUUCAGAAGGGCUCCGGCGAAAAAUAUCAGUUUCUAAACUGCCCGAAGUGAAUAGUGCAUAGUUAAGGGACUAAGUUGUAAAAAGGGGUUUAAUCCCUUUUCUUCUUCUCCUUCCUCAGCUGCAGUAGCCCCAAACCGCACACACACAUACGCAUACACACACGCAUGGAAGGGAGAGAGCAAACUUCCAUUUCUCUCUCUAAAUCUCUUCCAAAAUUAAAGGAAUUGGUGGAGAUUGAAGCUUGUAGGUAAAUCGUCUUCAUCUUCUUUAUCUUCUCCAUGGUUUGGAGCUAAUUUUGAGGUGAGCUUCUUGAGCCCUCUCAUGGUAGAUCUCUAGGAUUAGCUCUAUAUGCUAUAGAAAUGGAUUUAGUGGCAUUCUUAGAUGCUAAUUAGAUGUUUUAUUGCUUGAAUCCAAGGUUAUAUUGUGUAUUCUUGUAAUAGAUGAAACCUAGGGUUCAAAGUGCAAUUUUUGGAAAUAGUUGGGUUUGAUCUCAAUUUACCCUCCGUAAACCUAAUUGCUAGGUAACGAAACGCGUUGGCGAAGACGGUUCGGUAAUCCGACGAGCCGUUACAAAGUUAUUAAAGAAACGGACGUUUAGCCUUUGUUUCCGCCUGGAGGGCCGAGGCGACGUCGUAAAAUCGUGAAAACCGAUUUGAAGCACCGUGGCACAUAACCAAAGACCUUUAAUUUUCGGAUCGCAAAUCGGAGAUCGUUUGAGUGGUCGCGUGAGAGUUCGAGCCAAACCGGGUCGCGGGUGUCGCGGGCGGCCGAUUGCAAGUGCUGACAAGUAAUCGGAACGCGAAUUGAGGUGGGUUAUGCUUACCGAAGCGACUAGGUCGCCUUUAUGUCUAAGAUGAUUAAGAAUCCAUGUUGAUGCAUAUAAAUAUAAAUAAAGCAUGUGGUUGACUCAUGUAGCUAAUGCGUGUUAAUAAUAUGAUGCAAAUGCUAACUAGGUGCAUAUAAAAUGAUAUAGAAAUCAUAGGAGACAUGAUUAGCAUUAUGAGAUUAUGUAUGCAUAAUGACAUCAUAGAAUGUAUGCCAGAUGAAAUGUGGAUAUCUAUAGUACUCGAUAUGACAAGUAGGAUGUCAAGUAGAUCGAGUGGUAUUAACUUAGUGUUAAUAAACAUAGGUCGGACAUAGAUGACAUUGAACCUAGUGUUAUUGAACCUAGGAUAAAUAACGAGUGGCAUCUAACCUAGUGUUAAAGAACUUAGGUUCAAUAUGAAUCUAGAGUCGGGACCUAGGUGUGUGGCAUCUAACUUAGUGUCAAAGAACAUAAGUUGAGAACUGAACCUAGAGUUAAAGUAAACCUAGGUUGUGAAAUUGAGCAUUAGACCUAGAGUCAGUUGGACCUAGGGUGAAAAGGACAUUGGACCUAGAUAGGUCGAUACUAUAGGGUUUGAGACUAACCCUUGAGUCGUGAAAUGGAUUCCAAAAUCCCUAGUGAAGUCGCAGCAAAGGAAGCGGUGGCACUUGUGGUAAAAGAGAUGGCAAGCGAAUCAUAACUGCAGGUAUGUGUGGUUCUCCUCGCCUGGCAGUGAUUCAACGGGUAUUUGUGGUUCUUCUCGCACGGGAUGCCAUGAGAAUAAGCUGGAAUUGGGUAUGUGUGGUUCUCCUCGCCUAUUAGCUUAUCAGAUGAUGCCGCCUAGAUUGACUUGAACCAUUGCUGGGUGAGAGCGAGUGGCCGCUGCCAGAUGACUAAGCCAUGACUUGAGCCAUUGUUGGGUGUGAUGCGAUGAGUUCGCCGCCAAGUGGCUAAGUCAUGACUUGAGUCAUUGUUGGGUCGAUGCGAUGAAUUCGCUGUCAGAUGGUUAAGUCAGAGGUGCGGUAGGCUGUGACGGCAGCCGGAAUGAGAUGCAGCCAGUGCGCGAACUAUCCGCGGAUGAUUGACUCGAGGCCGAGUCGAGUGGUUAGCUUGAUUAGGUUAAUAGAAACCUUAUAAGCUAGUGAUAAAGGUAAGAGUUAAAGUUAGCAAAGUAAAUGUAGAAUUAACAUAUCUACUAGUUGUUUAUACAGUUGCAUAGUUGCAUAAUAUUCCUGUUGCAUAUUGUGAGGCAAAGCAUGAUAUAUGUUAGUUGCAUUUAAAUUAUGAUUUCAUAUCUAUCUAUUGAACUAACAUGUUGUUGCCUCCUUGGACCUAUUGGUCGAGCUUCUCCCUUGAGUGGCCGUACCCACUGGGAACCAUGGAGUUGGUUCUCACCCCACGUUGUUUUGGGGUGUUUCAGGUUCGCACGUGAGCGGCGCGGCAGCGCGAGGAAAGGGCGUAGCUCCAUAGAUAGCGCCCUACCCAGAGACCAGAGAUAGCAAUACCCCGUCGACAUAGCCUAGGGGUUUGGGAAAUGAAAAGAAUACAAUGUAUCAAUUUGUAAUAAGCAAAUGAUGUAAUAACUUAAUUGCAUUUGGGAGUUAGAUGUAAAGUAAAUGUAUUAUUGUGAAUGCAUGUAAUAACAUAGGAUAUGUUAUGUUGUGAUACUUUCCUUAUGCAACCAUGAUUGAUAUCUGUUCCUGGUUGGAACCUUUGUAAUGUUCAUUGUAUUGAUUGCGACGCCUAGGACGUAUAGGGAAAACUCUGUCAGUUCGGCGGUCUGUCGACGCGCCCGAACUUGGCCAAAUAGGCGGGGCCCGGGGCGUGGCAAACAGACCACGUAGCGAGGGAUCGGAGGGGAUUCAUCGAGUACCGUUGUGUGCCUGCUGGGAGUAGAAGAGUAUACAUGGGGAAUGAUUCAAGUGUCGAUGUGUUAGGCGUUGGCACAUACAAGUUGAUCAUGCAAGGUGGUCGAACUUUAUACCUACAUGGUGUACUUUGUGCUCCAGGAAUUCGGUGGAACUUGUUUUCUAUUCUUGCUAUGCUACAGUUAGGCUUUUCUUUUUGUUUUGAGAGUGAUGUAGUUAAGAUUCAUCUUGGAACUAUUUAUUAUGGGAGAGAUUUUAUGUCAAAUGGUUUUAUGAUUUUGGACAUUGAUUAUAAUAUUAAUAAUAGUGAAUCUUUUUCCCUGCUAUCUUCUGUUGAGAAUCAUCACAAUGUUUCAAUUAAAUGGCAUGCACGUCUUGGUCAUAUUGGGCAGGACAGAAUGACUAGAUUGGUUAGAGACGGGUUAUUGAGCUCGCUCAGUAAAGUCGACCUACCCACAUGUGAACGUUGUUUAGCAGGAAAAGCGAUCCGAAAAUUAUUUAAUAAAGCUUCUACGAUAGAAUUUUCUUUACAAUUGAUCCAUUCCGACAUUUGUGGCCCAAUGAGUGUGAGGGCAAGACAUGGUGUUUUUUACUUCAUCACAUUUAUAGAUGACCAUACGCGCUUCGGUCAUGUUUAUCUGAUCUCCCAUAAGUCUGAAGCAUUGGAUUGUUUUAGACGUUAUAUAAAUGAGGUUGAGAAUCAGUUAAAUAUGAAAAUUAAAUGCUUAAGAACUGAUCGAGGUCGCGAGUAUCUAUAUGAACAAUUCAAGGAAUUGUGUGAUGAAAAGGGAAUAAUCAGACAGCUGACAAUUCCUGGCACUCCGCAGCAAAAUAGUAUAGCGGAGAGAAGAAAUCGCACCUUGCUUGACAUGGUUAGGUCAAUGAUGGCGCCAGCAAAUUUGCCUGUCUUCUUUUGGGGAGACGCAUUGUUAACUGCUGCCUACAUUCUUAAUCGUGUACCCUCCAAAACAAUAUCUUCCACUCCUUAUGAAUUAUGGACAGGCAGGAAACCAAUUAUUGCAUUAGUUGAAGUGUAUAGAGGGGUUGGGCCCUCUCUUCUCUCUCAUUCCCACCCUAAACACACACAGUUCUCUCUCUCUCUCUAAGCUCUCUCUCCUCUCUUGAAGCAAAGAAGAAAGAGAAGAAUGAGAGGAAGAAAAGGAAGGAGAAGAAGGUGGAGCAAGCUAGGAGAAGGCCUUAGUUCUCUUCCUCUUCCUCCUCACACUAUUGGAGCUAGCUUAGAGGUAAGCUUUUGAGCUCAACAAUGGUAGGAACCUAGGGCUUGGAUUUCUAGCUUUGUGAAUGGGUCAAAUGGACUCCUAGCAUGCUUAAUAGUUGAUUAAUACUAGAAUCUAGAGUUUUGUUGGAGCAAAUUGCAUAAAUGCAAACCUAGGGCUCCAAUUUGGGGUUUUUGGAAAUCAAUGAGAUUGAUCUCAAUUGAGGGCAUCUAAACCUAAUUGAUAGGUGUCUAAACGCGUGGGCAAAGACGGAUUGAACAUUCGUUGAGUCGGUGAAAAGUUAUCGGCAAAACAAGACUGAUCGAGCUUCGUUUCCACCUAGGAGGUCGAAGCGGCAUUAAAGCAACUGCCGAGUAGUGUUCUUAGCACCCCGACAUCGUCGAAAGGUGGGUGGUGUCAUCCCGAAGCAACCGGGUUCCUCUCUAUGUCUUAGUAGUUCAUGAUUUGUAUCUCUUGCAUGUAGCAUUGUAGAAUUGCAUGUUACUCCUUUCCUUAUGCUUGAUAAUGAUAUCUAUGUAUGAAAUGAAUGCAUAAUGAUAGUUAGAUGAGAAUUGGGUCUUGACAUUGAAUUCUAUAGUGCUGAGAAGAGAGAUGACUCGAUGAUUGUUAAAGACGUAUUGAGUGGCAUUGAUUGUUAAACAUACAAAAACGGGUGGCAUAUAACUUAGUGUAAAUGGCACUAGUGGCAUGUGAACUUAGGAAUAGGUGGAUUCCCUAGUAAAUGACUCGUUGGACAAGGAAAUAAUGUAACCAAACACUCAUAUUUGGACUUUGGGAUAGGUGGAUUCCCGAGUGACUUGUAACCCUAGAGUUGAUAGGGUAUCCUCGAGUUGAGAGGAUUGAUCAUACUCACAGUCUGUUUAUACUUGUGGUGGUCGCACCACCCAGGUCUUCGUGCACUCCGGAGUUUGGUUCCGGAGGGGCAGAGUUGAUGCCCUGCAGGCGGCCUCGGGUUUGAGAGCGAGGUGCGUCUCCUUACCAUACGAGGUUUGAGGUGAGUCGUGGGCAAACCCAAGUGGAUCGCCAAGGAUUGAUUGAACAUGGAAAUAGCAUUGUUACUUGAACAUUUGCUUGUUGGAUAUGGAUAGUGGACAUAGUGGCAUGUUAGUAAACCUUUUACUAUAUGAUGCAUGCAUACAUUACGGAUGAAUGGGCAUAGUAGCAUAGUUUUCCUACUAUUGCAUUUGCAGUUUUUCAUAACUAUCUAUCUAUCUGCUUUUGCUCACUCGGACCUAGUGGGGAGAUUGGCGGAGUCGGCGGCCGAACCCACUGGAAACUAUGGACAAUAGUUCUCACCCCACUUUGUUGCAGGGCCUAGUACGAGCGCGCCGGGCGAGGACCGCGGCAAGUGUUAAGUCUUGUAUGUUGGCAAGUUCCGUGGAUUGAGUCGGAGUCUUGAAGGUUUCGGGGCAUAUCGUCGAAGAACGAAGAAUCCAAGACUUCGGAGAAGGCGGAGAUAACUAACGACAUGAAUCACGAUGCUCAGGUAAAGUCUUUACUUCAGUUAUGGUGAUUCGUACUUAGUUAUAGGCAUUAGAAUCAUUAUUAUCAAUGUUUAGUUGAUUAGAAAUUGCUUCGGAACUCUGCGGAACCCGAAACAGUGCUAAGUCUGAAAAAUGCACUGUGUACCGAUAUAGCAAUUGACCCGUACCGGUACAGCCAUCGACUUUGGCUUUACAGAUUUUUGUUCCGUCAUCGUGUAACCGGUGACAGCCUCACGUGUACCGGUACACAGUGUAAAAUUGUGAAAACUUUCGAAUUCGACUCCGAUUGAUUCUAAAGUCUAUAAAUAAGUUAUUGGGGUUCUCUAACAUAUCAAGCAUCACGAAAAUAUAUGUUUGAGAAACCCUAGAUGUAAGAUAUGGAUCCCGAGGAUCUAAAAGGUAAGUAACACCUAGAAGGGGGUGAAUAGGUGUAAAAACGGCAAACUCGAAAAUCUCGAUGCAAAUAAAAAUUAAAUAGCAGAAAAUUAAAAAGCACACCGAGAAUUUAACGUGGGAAAACUCCAAAUCGGAGUGAAAAACCCACGGGACCAAUCACGCAAAGAAAAUCCACUAACAAAACAUGAGUACAAGUGAUUUANGUCGAGCUUUCCGAAUGAGUCUUCGUUCUCCAAUUUGAAUCUCUUCUUCAAAACUUCUGCGAUCAACUCUUCAAGACUCCAAACAACUUUACGAAAUUCGCCAACCUAUAAAAUCCUUAACACUAGAGGCUCGGAUUUCAUCUAAAACCUAUUUUCUUCAUAAAGCCUCUUUUAGGUCAAAUCGAGAGAUUGUAAUUUGAUAUCAAUAUGUCGAUUUGAUAUUCCCUUUGCUUGGAGAUCUAUUUCCUGGUUUUCAUCGAUAUUCUAAGCGAAGGAUCACCAUAAUCAUGAUGCUCUUCAUGACGGCGUCGUUGAUUCGUCGUGAUUGACGGCGGUUCGUGGAUUCGGAUCGUGAGCUUCGUGGAUUCGGAGUGGAGGCGUUUCGUGGAUUCGGAACGUGGCGUUCGUGGAUUCGAACGUGAGGGCAUGGACAACCCGGAGGAUUGCGCGAGAUUCAUAGGAGGUUAAGAGAGGUCGAGUCCGUGGAAAUGGUAAUCACCUUAUAAUCUUUUCUCUUAGGGAAUUAUUUUUUCGCGUGUUGGUCCCGUGGGUUUUUCUCCAAGUUGGAGUUUUUCCACAUAAAUCUCGGCGUGAUUUUUAUUUUCCGCAUUUAUUUUUAUCGCAUUGAGAUUUGUGGUUUUUGGCUAUUACACCUAUUCACCCCCCUCUAGGUGUUAGAUACAAUCUAGAUAGAUUCUUGGGCUCUUUAAAACUUUCAGCAAGGGCAUAGCGCCCGAGCAGUAGUAGAGUACCUUCCC
rnacentral:lncRNA from 1 species